rnacentral:rRNA from 1 species
UACGGGGGGUGCGAGCGUUGUCCGGAAUCACUGGGCGUAAAGGGCGCGUAGGUGGUUUGUUAAGUCUGCUGUGAAAUCCCCGGGCUCAACCUGGGAAUGGCAGUGGAUACUGGCAAGCUAGAGUGCGGUAGAGGGAUGUGGAAUUCCGCGUGUAGCAGUGAAAUGCGUAGAUAUGCGGAGGAACACCGAUGGCGAAGGCAAUCCCCCUGGGCCUGCACUGACGCUCAUGCACGAAAGCGUGGGGAGCAAACAGG